rnacentral:rRNA from 1 species
AUUGAACGCUGGCGGCAGGCUUAACACAUGCAAGUCGAGCGGAGAUGAGGUGCUUGCACCUUAUCUUAGCGGCGGACGGGUGAGUAAUGCUUAGGAAUCUGCCUAUUAGUGGGGGACAACAUUCCGAAAGGAAUGCUAAUACCGCAUACGCCCUACGGGGGAAAGCAGGGGAUCGUCGGACCUUGCGCUAAUAGAUGAGCCUAAGUCGGAUUAGCUAGUUGGUGGGGUAAAGGCCUACCAAGGCGACGAUCUGUAGCGGGUCUGAGAGGAUGAUCCGCCACACUGGGACUGAGACACGGCCCAGACCCCUACGGGAGGCAGCAGUGGGGAAUAUUGGACAAUGGGCGGAAGCCUGAUCCAGCCAUGCCGCGUGUGUGAAGAAGGCCUUUUGGUUGUAAAGCACUUUAAGCGAGGAGGAGGCUACCUGGAUUAAUACUCUAGGAUAGUGGACGUUACUCGCAGAAUAAGCACCGGCUAUCUCUGUGCCAGCAGCCGCGGUAAUAC